CGGAACACGUACGCAACCUUCCCUAACUGGUGAAUAGCCUUUCGAAAGAGAGAUUAAUACACCGUAACAUAACGAAGAGGCAUCUCUUUGUUAUUAUAGACUUCGGUCGGUUUUGGAUGGGCGUGCGCCUGAUUAGGUAGUUGGCGGGGUAACGGCCCACCAAGCCUGCGAUCAGUAACUGGUGUGAGAGCACGACCAGCCACACGGGCACUGAGACACGGGCCCGACUCCUACGGGAGGCAGCAGUAAGGAAUAUUGGUCAAUGGACGAAAGUCUGAACCAGCCAUGCCGCGUGAAGGAUGACGGCCCUCUGGGUUGUAAACUUCUUUUAUCUGGGACGAAAAAAGGGCUUUCUAGCUCACUUGACGGUACCAGAGGAAUAAGCACCGGCUAACUCCGUGCCAGCAGCCGCGGUAAUACGGAGGGUGCAAGCGUUAUCCGGAUUUACUGGGUUUAAAGGGUGCGUAGGUGGGUAGGUAAGUCAGUGGUGAAAUCUCCGAGCUUAACUCGGAAACUGCCAUUGAUACUAUCUAUCUUGAAUAUCCUGGAGGUGAGCGGAAUAUGUCAUGUAGCGGUGAAAUGCUUAGAUAUGACAU
rnacentral:rRNA from 1 species